GUAAAAGAACAAUAAGACUUUGUGUCUGGUUUAAAACUUCUCAACUUAAAAGGCCUUGAAAUGUGUUCAAUGAAGACCCAGAGGGCUGAAAGUGUUGGCAGCCAAAUAAAAUGAAGGUGCGGGAACUCAUGUUGACUUCUUGGUUAGAGUGAGAGCUGGGGACAGUGAGAAACAGCUAAGUAUUGAGGAAUGGGUCAGCAGAGGUGACUCUCCAGUCUUCAGACCCAGGAAGACAGUGCUUCCCUUGGGAAAACCUGGCAGCCUCCCCCAUACCAGCCAGUCACGGGCCCACCGCCUGGUCCUCCUCCCCUGCUUUCCUCCCUCCAGGCCUCUCCUCUUCUUUGCUCUCUCCGGAGGUUCCACCCUGCCUGCUGAAGUCAGAGCAGGCCUUGGCAGAGUGUUUGGGCUUUUUGGUUUUUUUUAAAGCAAGAAUGGUUUGGUUCUAAAUCUAGAGGAAUAUAUAGGAUGCUUCCAGCAUAGAGGGGUCUCUGUUUCUGUGUUAAAUCACAGUCCGAAUUUUAAAAAGUGAAAAUAUUCAGUAAAUAAUGAAUGUGGGGGGAAUGUGCAACGAUGUGUACUGCUGAUGUGAUUGGAAAGGGGGCCACUUUUAAAAAUGUAUCUAGCUUUUGUCCAAGCAGUUCUACCAUCUGGAAUUUAUCCUCUGGAAAUAAACACAUUUUUGUAAAGGUGGAUGAAUAAAGAUAUUUAUAACUGCAUUGUUUAUAAUAGAAAAAAAAGGAAACAUUGGAAAGCCCAACAAAAAGGAGUUGGUUGUUUAAAAUCUGGCAUAUCUACACAAAGACCUGUCUUGCAUGCAACAGCAUGACCUAGGGGUGUAUAUAUAUUAAUGAGAACAAUGUUUGCGUAUACUGCUAGGUUUAAAAAAAAAAAGUGUAUGGUCAGGCCACUCAGAAGAGCGCUUCUCUUUUUUGUUUUGUUUUGUCUUUUAACUAUAAUUUUAUUUAUUUAUUUUUGGCUUUGCUGGCUCUUCACUGCUGCUCAGGCUUUUCUCUGGUUGCAGAGAGUGGGGUCUCUUCUCCCAUUUGUGAUGCGAGGGCUUCUCAUUGCGGUGACUUCUCUUGUAGAACACGAGUCCUAGGGCACACAGGCUUCAGUAGCCGUGGCACGGAAGCCCAGAAUGGCUGGAUCAGUGCCUACUUCACCUACACCCUAUUCACAUGACUGACCUUCCUAUAUAUGCUUGCCACAGGCCCCAACUAGAGAUUGUUCUUGUCCGAGAGGCAGUGAAGGGCGUGCCCCUCUGCUAGUUUCUCUGGUAACUGAUGAGCCAACCUGCCAUCUAUUCCCCCGUAACAGGCAGUCUCCCCUCCCCAGGAGCAAAGGCUGCCUCCUUGUCUUGCUCACCAUCACAUGGUGAGGCAUUGCUCUAGGACUUUGC
ensembl:lncRNA